CGGCGGACGGGUGAGUAACACGUGGAUAACCUACCUAUAAGACUGGGAUAACUUCGGGAAACCGGAGCUAAUACCGGAUAAUAUAUUGAACCGCAUGGUUCAAUAGUGAAAGACGGUUUUGCUGUCACUUAUAGAUGGGUCCGCGCUGCAUUAGCUAGUUGGUAAGGUAACGGCUUACCAAGGCAACGAUGCGUAGCCGACCUGAGAGGGUGAUCGGCCACACUGGAACUGAGACACGGUCCAGACUCCUACGGGAGGCAGCAGCC
rnacentral:rRNA from 1 species